rnacentral:tRNA from 8 species
GCGGAUGUGGCUCAGUGGUAGAGCAUCGGCUUCCCAAGCCGAGGACCGCGGGUUCGAAUCCCGUCAUCCGCUCCA